CAGCAGCCACGGUAAUACGAAGGGGGCUAGCGUUGUUCGGAAUUACUGGGCGUAAAGCGCACGUAGGCGGAUAUCUAAGUCAGGGGUGAAAUCCCAGAGCUCAACUCUGGAACUGCCUUUGAUACUGGGUAUCUUGAGUAUGGAAGAGGUGAGUGGAAUUCCGAGUGUAGAGGUGAAAUUCGUAGAUAUUCGGAGGAACACCAGUGGCGAAGGCGGCUCACUGGUCCAUUACUGACGCUGAGGUGCGAAAGCGUGGGGAGCAAACAGGAUUAGAUACCCCGGUAGUCCCUGUCUCUUAUAC
rnacentral:rRNA from 1 species